rnacentral:rRNA from 1 species
UGGGGAAUAUUGGACAAUGGGGGCAACCCUGAUCCAGCAAUGCCGCGUGUGUGAAGAAGGUCUUCGGAUUGUAAAGCACUUUCGACGGGGACGAUGAUGACGGUACCCGUAGAAGAAGCCCGGCUAACUUCGUGCCAGCAGCCGCGGUAAUACGAAGGGGGCUAGCGUUGCUCGGAAUGACUGGGCGUAAAGGGCGUGUAGGCGGUUUACACAGUCAGAUGUGAAAUCCCCGGGCUUAACCUGGGAGCUGCAUUUGAUACGUGUAGACUAGAGUGUGAGAGAGGGUUGUGGAAUUCCCAGUGUAGAGGUGAAAUUCGUAGAUAUU